UCUCCGUUGGUGAACCAGCGGAGGGAUCAUUACCGAGUUUACAACUCCCAAACCCCUGUGAACAUACCUUACUGUUGCCUCGGCGGAUCAGCCCGCUCCCGGUAAAACGGGACGGCCCGCCAGAGGACCCCUAAACUCUUGUUAAUUUUUGUCAAAUCUGAAUCAAAACUAAGAAAUAAGUUAAAACUUUCAACAACGGAUCUCUUGGUUCUG
rnacentral:misc_RNA from 1 species